rnacentral:rRNA from 1 species
GACAGAGGGUGCAAACGUUGUUCGGAAUUACUGGGCGUAAAGCGCGUGUAGGCGGCCCUGCAAGUCGGAUGUGAAAUCCCACGGCUCAACCAUGGAAGUGCAUUCGAGACUGAAUAGCUAGGGUGCGGUAGAGGGAAGCGGAAUUUCCGGUGUAGCGGUGGAAAUGCGUAGAUAUCGGAAGGAACAUCAGUGGCGAAAGCGGCUUCCUGGACCAGCACCGACGUCAGGCACGAAAGCGUGGGGAGCAA